rnacentral:lncRNA from 1 species
GGCGGGCCGGCGGCCUCCUCGCCCGACCCCCGACCCCGGGCCAGGUGUCUUCAGAAUUCGGCAAAGUAGAUGGGACUGCAGACGUUACCAUUCCCUGUGACUCUUGCUACGAUCUUACAGACUUCAUUGUGCUGGGCUUAGAUGUCUUCAGAGUCACCAGCUUUGUUUUUCAGUUCCAUGAAAUCAGCCUGCCUUUUCUUUUUUUGGUGAUACAUCCACAUUCUGUAUAGGUGAAAAGCAAAACAAACAAGUAUAAAACGAAAAUUAUGUAAGAAGUACACACAUCCUAGCAGCUUGGCAAGUGUCUGUAUGCUCUUGCCUGUGCCUAAAUCCAGAAUUAGAAUUCAUGCUUGGUGCUCCUGUGGAAGAUGUCUAAAUGUUAUGAGAAAUACAUGAUUAAAUAAAAAUGUGAAAUGAAAGCAUGGAGACUUGUUGAAGGUGAGUGCUGUUUUUCUAAUUAUAUAUUUUAUUUGUUUAAUGAAUAAUUUGUUAAUUUUCUUUGUCAUUACGAGAGAGCUGUUUUAUUCUGUACUUAGGUGCAUAGCAUACUAUGUUUUAGUGAGCUCCACAUGUUAAUUUGAAACUUGCCAAAUUUUUACAUUAUUUUAUAAUUUAUAGUACUUUGAGAAACAUAUUGCAAUGCAUUACAAAGCAUAUAAUGUAAAGGUAGUUUUAUGAAGUGUUUUUCUCCCAAAUUAAGCAUAUUUGGGAAUUGCCCAUCAAUUUGUUUUUGAACCUCAGUGCAUAAAAUAUAGAAUUUUUCUUUCAUAUGCUAGAUGUGAAAAAUACUCAGCAUAUGCAUGUGGUUUAGGCUACAAAAUAGCCUGUAGGUUAAAUUCCUAAUUCUAGUGUUUAAUUCAUUGCCUUUUUUCUUCUUGUUUAAUGGCCAUAUGUUUAUAUCUUUAUAUUACAUACAUUCCUGAUUAUGUAAUAAGGUCUUUGAUCAUGUGGGCUAUCAGAUUUGCCUCACUUUGUCUCUUAGAAGAAGCUAUACAUGAAACUAUGUUGUACUUAAGUGAAAAUUUGAGUAUUUUUCUUGUUUGAAUUAAUGCAGUGAAACAUUCUACUUACAGUUAGCUGUCUCCCACCCUUACAGGAAGGUACAUGCCUUCAUUUUUUAAAACACUGUAUAUUUAUUAGAAUUGUUACAGAAUUUUAGUAAAUAUAUUCUAAUCACAUAUUUUCUGAUUAAUGUGUGCUUAUCAGUUUUAAAUGUUAUGAAAUCUGGAUAUAUGUUAAAAUGUCUCAGUUUUCCCCUCUUGUUUACCAUAUUGCCAUUUGGUAUUAAUAGAUAACAUAAUGUAAAAUUGGAUGUCUUUGAUAAUUUUGGGAUAUGUUCUGAAAUUAAACUUGAACUUUUUUCUGUGAAUUUUGAAGAUUUGGUAUCUUAUAAUUAUUUGGUGAGCAUUUGGCAUGAAUUAUUUAGCUUCUCCCCUGUUUAUGAUUUAUUUCUCUUGUCAUCGAUUUCCAAUAGGAAAAUGUUAUGGUUCUAAAUGUCUCCUGUAGACUUCAGUAAUUGAAAAAUGUCAGUCAAGAUGGGGGGAAUCUGUAAUAUAUAAUAGAGUUUAUCUUUUAGUUAUGUUCAUUUCCACUUUUUUUAAUGUGUUUUUUUUUUAGUAAAUGUCAAAAGUGUUACUCAGUGCAACAUAUUAUGCAAUAUUAUAAUCAACUAACCUCUUCAUUGAUAAUGACUUCAUAUUGAGAGGUUUUUUAAAUCUAGAAAUAUUCUUGUUUUAAAUUCCAGGUUAAAAUGUAAAGGUAUUUUUAUUUUUUUAAUUUUAAUUCUUCUCAAAGCUACUAGUACAUUAUAAAACAACAAUUUCACAUUUAGAAUUUUUAUAUGUAUAUAAAUUAGGAUUAUUUUUUAAUAUUAGCCUUAACUUUCUUUAACUUUUAUGAAAAACAACUAGUCCCAAGGGUAUUUUUACUAUUUAAUAUACAUUAUUCCUGUGAUUCAAAAUCUUAGCAGUAGAACCUGUUGAGCUACUUAACUUUCUGUCUUGGGACUAUCCAGGUGCAGUUAUAACUGGUUUCAAAGUUGUGACCUUUUCCUUGCUUGUUUCAAAAUCAUUCCUUAAAAAAUGUUCAGUAUUUUUCUUUUGUCAAAAAAUAAAAACAGGAUUUGUGGGUUGUUCUGUUUUUUAAAAUUAGUUUGAGAAACUUCCUUUGCCACUUGUUUUCUGUGCAAAUGUUGUAAGAGCUCAAAUUCCCUGGGGGUAGGGAGGACUUUUAUAAGGUUUUUUUGGUUGAAGGGUAUAAAAGGCACUUAAAAGGUAUACAGUUACUUUUAUUUCGAUAUCCCAGUCAUUUUGACAUUAUGAUAAGCUUUCCCCACUUUAUAGGUUAUCUGAAAAUUUGGUGGGGGGCGGGUAUUUUAUUUAUACUUAAUAUAACAAAAUUAUUUUCCUAUGUGUAGUCAAUAGCACAUACAAAAAAUUAUCUCCUGUUUGUAGUCAGUAGCACAGUCAGUAUUCACCAAAAUACUGAGUUAUUUUUCAAGUAAAGGUAUAAGUAUGAAUGAGAAACAGUUUGUGGGUUGGGUAUUGUCAGUCCUUCUUUUUCAGAUAACUUUCUAAAUGGUCAUUCAAUCUGUAAUCUUAAACUUUUUUAAUGUUAUAAAUUCUUCAAAUCAGUAUUUGUAUUAAAUGCAGUGACCAGACUAUGUCACUGAUACAAUGUCAUGAUUAGAUGUGCAGAAGACUAUGUUACAUGGAUGAUAAAUGAACUUUUAACAUAUAGAAAUUAAUAUCAGAUUAAACUAAAACAUUAAGCAAAGUUAAUACAUGCUUGCAUACAUAUAUAUAUUUAUUUAUUAAUGAUAUGUGGAGAAUCUUUGUGCUUCAUAGUCACUAGACCUAAAGUAGAAGCAGUUGUCAAGAAUGUCCAACUGCUAUUCAUCUUUGUGGCCAAAGUAAAUUUCAGAUUUUUUUUUUGUAAUGGUUUUCUUUAGUCUCUUUAUUAACCCAUCAUCAUGACAAGUCUGUCAAGUGACACAUGUGAAAAGCAGAUGUCCUUUCUUAUUCCUGGUGCUUCCUAAGGAGGCAGUGCAAUGCAGGAGAAGGAACAUUAUUAGAGAUAAAGGAAAAAACCAGAAGUGCUUUCUCCUCUCACAUUCCACUCAACACUUCUCUCACCAAAUGUGUGUGGGGAUUUCUCUCCACCAACAACCAGCAGUUCUUUACUGCAGAUUCUCCAGUGGAUACCAGCCAGGUGUCCUCUAAUUCAGUUCAAUUCUGACAUUAUCUACUGGGAGAUAGUGUCAGAUCCCGCAAGUGGAGGGCUCAGUCCUACAAGACUACCCCUUACUUCAGAUGUCAGUCACAAGCAGUUAGCGGUUUGUGAUUCUGACCAACUGGCUAGAGGUCCCCCUCCUCAAGUGUGAUUAAUUUGCUAGAGCAGCUCACAGAAUUCAGGGAAACACUUUAUUUACAUUUACCCAUUUAUUAUAAAGGAUAUUAUGAAGGAUACACAUGAACUGCCAGAAAGACAAGGAGCAUAGGCAAGAUACUGAGAAGGGUCACGGAGCUUCUGUGCCUUCUCCAGGUGCACCACCCUCUGGGAAUAGUCAGUUCAUGUGUUCAGCUGUCUCGAAGCUCAUUCGAACCCUGUCCUUCUGAGUUUCUGUGGAGGCUUCAUUACGUUAAGGUUCAGAAAUCAAUACCCCAAAAUAUGGGGCUUUGACAUGCUGAAUUAAAGAAGCAGCCUCAAGGCCUCUUGGCCUUCUCCAGCUCUCCUCACCCAAAUCCUGUCUCUCCCAAAGCACAAGAUGAGGCUGUUCACCAAAGUUCCCUUAUUUACCUAGAAACUGGACCUUAAAGAGGAACACAGUUGCCUGCGAUUCCAUCCCUGUAAUUUUAUUAACCAGAGAUUAAAACUUAUAUCACAGAGGAAGAGACUAAAAAUUAAACACCACACCUGGAGCCCAGAUGACCUGUCCCAAUCUAUUAUCUGUUCUCCAGUCCCAUUUAGUUCCCAAAGGGAAUCAUUUACAAACCAUUGUCUGAUCUUCCGGCCCAUUUAUUUACAGCUCCCCCUCUUUCCCCAAUGAAAAUGAUACUUAAGUGUCAGCCAUCUAUCGGCUCUUUGAGUUUUCACAUUUUGUAUGACUCCUGUGCACACACAUGCAUGUAAUAACUGUUAUACUUGUUAACUUUUUUUCAUUAUAGGGGUAUCCACCAUGAUUAUAUAUGAUGGGGAGGAAAGGGAUUACUCCAUUUCUGCCCCUGCAGUCUGUAGGCAUGAUUGAUUACAUCAUUGGUCGCCGGUGAUUAACUCAGUCUCCAAGCCCUGUCGUGUCCCUGGAGGUUGGAGGGUGGCACUGAAAGCUCCAACCAUCUCAUCAUGCUUUGAUCUUUCCGAUGACCAGACCCCACCCUGAAGCUAUCUACGGGUCCCCAGCAACAUUCAUUUCGUUAUCAUACAAAUGACAUUCUUACAAUUUCAGAGAUUCCAAGGGCUUUAGGAAAUGGAGAUGAAGAGCAAAUAUAUAUUUCACAAUAUCACAAACAUACCCUUGGGAAUUAGACCUCUGAUCUAAUCUAGGCUCCCUCACUUGCCAUUUUUGUGACCUUGAACAAGUUGUUCAUCUUUUCUGGAUAGUUCUCUGUUAAAAAAAUUAAAAUAAAAAAAUGGUGGCUAUCAGGUUGUUAGGAGGACUAGAUAAGAGAACUAUGUGAAGGACCCUGCACAGUGCUAGCAACAAAGUUGUUUAGUAAGUGCUAUUUCAAUUUAUUUUGCUUCCAAGCUCAUGUGAGCUCCCUCAGUGUGUACCACCAAAUCACAUGAUGUGUAUCCCAGUCAAAUCUUAAAGGUCAUCCACCUUGAAUCUUUAAGUUAAUUAACGUGUGUUUUUAAAACUGCAUUAUAAGAACGUUAGGGUUUUUGUUUUGAUCCUAUGGAAGUUAAAUUUUUUACACAAGCAUUCAACUGUUUAGCUUCAAACUGAACAGAUAAAUAGUCUGUAUUAUUUCAUUAUGUAUUAAAAAAUGAUUAAGCCUGCCUCAGGCAGUUCAGGCAAAGCAGGUAAAAGAUUAUCAAGGAGUAACAUUAGAAAACACUAAUCAGAGUGCCUAAAAAGCUUUAUGCGGUCCAGGUUGUACAGGGAUGUUGGAACAGUAAAACAAACAAAACAUUACAAGGUAUGAAGCGUUCGAGAUAGGUAGAAUAGAGCAGGUUAUAUUAGAGAAGUCUCUUCUAAAAUUGUGUUGGCUAGCCUGGGAUUUGAACUUAUACCGUGUAUGUAUGUCCAUGUGUAACAGGUUGAACAUGCAAGAAGCAGUGUUCAUAAAAGGUGGCAAACUUGUUUUACUUGUUUCUCAGUCUUUUCAGAUCAGUACUUAUAAAACACUGAUAUUUACAGUAAAUAUCUUAUAUUAAAUAUUAGCUAACCCUAUUAAAUUGUGUGUCCUUGUGCUGCAGUCAUUUAAUGACCUCAUUCUUUGGUAAGUUGGCAUGUGAUUUGAGAUAGCUCUAAGUGCUAAUGGAUUGUUUGAAGGAGUUAAAGGCAAAACCAGGAAGAGAAAACUAUUUUUAGGAAAAAGCGAUCAUACAACAGGCCUUAAAUAGAAGAAAUGAGAUAUCUCUAUCUUUACUAUGUAACCUUUAAUUCCUUACACAUUUUGACUUCAUAUUUUUUGUAUGUAAAUGAGAAUGUUAUAGUCUUGUAAAUUCCUUUUCCUCUGUGACUACAUUCAGUUAUUUAUUUUAUUGUGUGUUUGUGCAUGUCGGUAGAGCACAGUAUUUAGUAGAAUGAGUUAUUGGUUAAACCACCUGGAUUCAUUUGUAAAAUGGGGCCACCUGUCUCUUAAAUUGUAAUGAGGAUUUGAUUAGAUAAUCUAGAUAAAUCACUUAGCACAAGAGUCUCCAGCCCCCGGACUCUUGACUGGUACUGGUCUGUGGCCUGUUAGGCACUGGGCUGCACAGCAGGAGGUGAGCAGGGAGCAAGCUAGCACUAGGGCCCAAGCUCCGCCUCCUGUCGGAUCAGUGGCAGCAUUAGAUACUCAUAGGAGCACAGACCCUGUUGUGAACUGUGCGUGUGAGGGAUCUAGGUUUCGUGCUCCUUACAAGAAUCUAAUUAAUGCCCGAUGAGUUGAGGUGGAACAGUUUCUUCCCAAAACCGUCUCAGGAAACCUGUCCCUGGUGCCAAAAUUUGGGGGACCUCUGACGUAGCACACUAUCUGGCACAUACCAAGCACUCAGAAAAUAUCCCAUUUCUCAAAACUCAGUUCCAGUGUCAAGUCUUAAUAGUAUAUUGAUCUUGGAACUCCAAGGUAGUUGGUCCUCUCUUUGUGCCAUAAAUGUGCCUUGUACUCAGUAGUGCUAAAUUGCUAUCAACUAGUGCUAAAUGUACUACUAAUUCAUCUGUGUGUCCACUUCCCUUCUUAGAUUGUGAGCCCCUUGAGGACAGAGAUGGGUUUACUCAUAUUUAUAAAUUCAUUGGCAUGAUAAAUAUUUGCUGAAAGAAUAAAAUUGUAUUCUUAUGUUUUAAGCAGGGUCCCCUCCACCUCUGAGUGGAAGAUGGUCUGGGAGCAAAGGUGACAGGUCUUCUAAAAAAUCUGGCCACAUUCUCAACCCACCACACCCCCGCUUUUUUAAACAGCUAUUUAAUUGCCAUUGUAAUCCUAAGGAUUGGAUCAAUUUUUCACUUCCCUUUUUCACACUUUUUUCCUUUUACUAAGAAAAUAAAGUAAUAAAGUGACUGCCAAAUGGAGAAAACUGUCCACUAAAUAUGAAUUAAUAAGUGCUAUUAUCAGAAAUUGUGUAAAAGCAACAUAAUGGCACUAUAAAAAGGUAUUAUCUUAGAAUCAAAAACCUUGGGUUUAUAUUAUAGCCCUGCUACUUUCUAGUCAUAUGACAGUGAUCAAGCUAUAUUACCUCUUUGGCUUGACAAAAUAGGGGUCAUCUCUAUUUCUGGCUUGUUAUGAUUGAUGUGAAAUAUUCAUACAAACUACCACUGUGCCUGGUAAGUAGAAGACACUCAAAUAUGUCUUGGAGUUACAGUUAAUACUGUAUCGUUUAAAUUUGAGAAAAACCAACUUUAAAAAAUCACAUAGAUACAGUUGUUUACUGCUAGAAAUUUUAUUUAAAUUAGUUGAUACUCUUGGUUAGGUAAUGAAAAACAAUGGUUUUAUCUCCAUUAUGCUGUGAUAGGGAAGAGUAACACAGUUCAAAUGGCAAAGGCAUACCUGACAAUUAAAAUGCAUAGUUAAAGGCUAAUACUUCCUGAACACAAGAAGACAAGUCUCUACUUGAUACUACUCUCCACAGUUAAAUCAUUGAUACUUUGUGCCAUACAGUGAAAACAGAACCAUCUAGGUGUUCACGGAUUGUAUUUUUCCUUAUGAAAGGUAGAAGGUUAGAGAAAAUUAUUCCCAAUACAAUUAAUACAAAUAAAAUUGGUUAUUAGGUGCCUUUUAAUUAGGCAGUAAGGGCAUAUGAAGCUUCAUUACCUAUGAGAAUUUUGUCAAAAUUAUUUCCCAGUUACCAUGUUUUAAAACAGCCUCUCAGAAUUCCCCACUUCUAAUUUCUCCUUUCUAUUCUACCAAUUUUACUCCAUACCUUUUUGCUAAAUAAACAUUUUCUUCCAACUCUGA